UUUAAUAUCGAUCCAAACUUUAUAUUUGUAUUUUGAUUGUUAUAUCUAAGAUUUCAACUGUAGUAUACCGUCCUGUAUUAAUAUAUUUUUAA
rnacentral:sRNA from 1 species